GUCCACGCCGUAAACGAUGUGUGCUUGACGUUGGUGGGUUUACCCGCCGGUGUCGCAGCUAACGCGAUAAGCACACCGCCUGGGGAGUACGGCCGCAAGGUUAAAACUCAAAGGAAUUGACGGGGGCCCGCACAAGCGGUGGAGCAUGUGGUUUAAUUCGACGCAACGCGAAGAACCUUACCAGCCCUUGACAUGGGGAGUAUGGGCCGCAGAGACGCGGCUCUUCAGUUCGGCUGGCUCCCACACAGGUGCUGCAUGGCUGUCGU
rnacentral:rRNA from 1 species